rnacentral:misc_RNA from 1 species
CUUUUUCCUUGUAUCUAUAAAUAUAUUUUCUGGGGUUCCUCCAUUUUUAAGCCACCAUUACAGAACCCCAAGAAAAAGGGCCCAAAAAUAUGAAGCACAUAGCCACUUUUUUGCUUUUGGUUUCUGUCUCCACCAUUGUUUUGCAGGUUGUUGCAGAAAAUCCAAUAUCCCAAGCUAAAGCGGAAUCUGCAAUCCUUCAGGACUCAAUCGUCAAACAGGUUAAUGAAAAUGAAAAAGCUGGAUGGAGAGCUGCACUAAACCCUCAAUUCUCGAAUUUCACGGUUUCCCAAUUUAAGCGCCUUCUUGGAGUUAAGCCCACAAGAAAGGGUGAUUUGAAGGGCAUCCCUAUUUUAACUCAUCCAAAACUUUUGAAGUUACCCCAAGAGUUUGAUGCACGAGUGGCUUGGCCUCAGUGUAGCACUAUUGGGAGAAUUCUUGAUCAGGGACAUUGUGGUUCUUGUUGGGCUUUUGGUGCUGCUGAGUCGUUGUCUGAUCGUUUCUGUAUUCAUUAUGGAUUGAAUAUCUCUCUGUCAGCAAAUGAUAUCAUAGCAUGCUGUGGCUAUUUAUGCGGGGAUGGUUGUGAUGGUGGAUAUCCGUUAGAAGCUUGGAAAUACUUUGUUCGCAAGGGUGUGGUCACUGAAGAGUGUGACCCUUACUUUGAUAAUAAGGGAUGUUCCCACCCUGGAUGUGAACCUGGAUAUCCCACUCCACAGUGCAAGAGGAAGUGUGUUAAAGAGAAUCUACUCUGGAGUAAAUCCAAGCAUUUUGGUGUUAAUGCAUACCUGAUUAACUCCGACCCAUACAGUAUCAUGACAGAAGUUUACAAGAAUGGACCAGUUGAGGUUUCUUUUACUGUUUACGAGGAUUUCGCUCACUACAAGUCUGGUGUUUACAAGCACAUAAAUGGUGAGGAAAUGGGAGGCCAUGCUGUUAAGCUCAUUGGAUGGGGAACCUCUGAGGAUGGAGAGGACUAUUGGCUCCUUGCCAAUCAAUGGAACAGAGGAUGGGGUGAUGAUGGUUACUUCAAG